GUAAGGAAUAUUGGUCAAUGGAGGGAACUCUGAACCAGCCAUGCCGCGUGCAGGAUGACUGCCCUAUGGGUUGUAAACUGCUUUUGUCCAGGAAUAACCACCACUACGUGUAGUGGCUUGAAUGUACUGGAAGAAUAAGGAUCGGCUAACUCCGUGCCAGCAGCCGCGGUAAUACGGAGGAUCCGAGCGUUAUCCGGAUUUAUUGGGUUUAAAGGGUGCGUAGGCGGCUCAUUAAGUCAGGGGUGAAAGACGGCAGCUCAACUGUCGCAGUGCCUUUGAUACUGAUGAGCUUGAAUGUGGUUGAAGAUGGCGGAAUGAGACAAGUAGCGGUGAAAUGCAUAGAUAUGUCUCAGAACUCCGAUUGCGAAGGCAGCUGUCUAAGUCAUUAUUGACGCUGAUGCACGAAAGCGUGGGGAUCGAACAGGAUUAGAAACCCUAGUAGUCC
rnacentral:rRNA from 1 species